CUGGCUGGUGUCUGUCUCUGUUACUGUGUAGUGCCAGAUUUGAACCGGGAGCUUCAUAUAUGGUAUAGUGAAAAAUAUAUGAGUUCUGACCCAAGAACACUGGUGGAGUGUCCAUGAAGACCUGGAGAGAUGGUGAAGCCGAGACAUCGGAAGAGCUUGGGUUUCUGAGUUCUCACAAGAAAAAGCGAACCAGGAAAUUUGGCCAAUUGUGGACACCUGUCUUCACUGAUUUCUGCCUGGAAUGCAGACAAGGUGGCUGGAGCUUCAGCAACGAUUAUAUGAUCAGCAAGGAGGGAGAGGCCAUGAAGGUCACAAGACACUGGCUCUGACACUCCUGAGUUGCUGCAAGACCCCAGGAAUUCCUAUUUCUGCUCUUCUUUUCACAAGAGCUAAAUUAUUAUCUUGCCAAAGCCACGGUGGUUGAGGUUUUCGGUUCAAAAUGUCGUCAGAAUCAGUCUUUCACCUUGGGAAAAUAUGUCAACAGACAUAGGCCUAGUCAAAACCUGUUGCUACCUGAAGCCAAACUGUUGGAGGACUUCCUUCAGGAAGUCACAUAUUUGUCAACAUCUUAAAAAAAAAUGAGCAACACUCUGAAAA